UGGGGAAUCUUGCGCAAUGGGCGAAAGCCUGACGCAGCAACGCCGCGUGCGGGAAGAAGGCUUUAGGGUUGUAAACCGCUUUCAGCAGGAACGAUUGUGACGGUACCUGCAGAAGAAGGUGCGGCCAACUACGUGCCAGCAGCCGCGGUGACACGUAGGCACCAAGCGUUGUCCGGAUUUAUUGGGCGUAAAGAGCUCGUAGGCGGUUCAGUAAGUCGGGUGUGAAAACUUCGGGCUUAACUCGAAGACU
rnacentral:rRNA from 1 species